rnacentral:rRNA from 1 species
AACGAACGCUGGCGGCAGGCUUAACACAUGCAAGUCGAGCGCCCCGCAAGGGGAGCGGCAGACGGGUGAGUAACGCGUGGGAAUCUACCCAUCACUACGGAACAACUCCGGGAAACUGGAGCUAAUACCGUAUACGUCCUUCGGGAGAAAGAUUUAUCGGGGAUGGAUGAGCCCGCGUUGGAUUAGCUAGUUGGUGGGGUAAUUGCCCACCAAGGCGACGAUCCAUAGCUGGUCUGAGAGGAUGAUCAGCCACACUGGGACUGAGACACGGCCCAGACUCCUGCGGGAGGCAGCAGUGGGGAAUAUUGGACAAUGGGCGCAAGCCUGAUCCAGCCAUGCCGCGUGAGUGAUGAAGGCCCUAGGGUUGUAAAGCUCUUUCACCGGUGAAGAUAAUGACGGUAACCGGAGAAGAAGCCCCGGCUAACUUCGUGCCAGCCGCCGCAGUAA